GACGAACGCUGGCGGCGUGCUUAACACAUGCAAGUCGAACGGUGAAGCGCCUUCCUUUUUGGUGGGUGUGGAUGAGUGGCGAACGGGUGAGUAACACGUGAGUAACCUGCCCCCUUCUUCUGGAUAACCGCAUGAAAGUGUGGCUAAUACGGGAUAUUCUGGGUCUGUCGCAUGAUGGGUCUGGGAAAGAUAUUGUUUCGGUGGGGGAUGGGCUCGCGGCCUAUCAGCUUGUUGGUGGGGUGAUGGCCUACCAAGGCGGUGACGGGUAGCCGGCCUGAGAGGGUGGACGGUCACACUGGGGCUGAGCCACGGCCCGGACUCCUACGGGAGGCAGCAGUGGAGAAUAUUGCACAGUGGGCGCAAGCCUGAUGCAGCGACGCCGCGUGAGGGAUGGAGGCCUUCGGGUUGUGAACCUCUUUCGCCAGUGAAGCAGGCCUGCCUCGUUUGUGGGUGGGUUGACGGUAGCUGGAUAAGAAGCGCCGGCUAACUACGUG
rnacentral:rRNA from 1 species